UUAGGCUUAAAAAGUAAGGAAUCUGUUCCUCAACUAGUAACAGAUCUGAUUGAUGAAAAGUUCAAACUGGAUUCUUUGCUAUCUCACAAAUUGUCAUUCAAAGAAAUAAAUAAAGGUUUUGAAAUGUUACGUAAAGGUGAAAGCAUACGUACAGUACUUGAAUUCUGAAACCAUGCAGUGUUCAGCAGAAAGGCCCGCUGAUGAUCCAAGGAGAAAGCGUUGACUUCUAAGAUGUCUUUGAUUUGCUUUAUAAUAUUGUAUUCAUUCUUACUUGACAUCAUAAGAGUAACUGGAUCCUGCUGGGUGAAGACAUGCUAAUCUUUUCAUUGUUCAUUAGAGCUAUAGUACACAACACACAUGUAUAAAAGUUUUGGAGUUAAUCCGUAUUUGUAAAUAGAACACAUGUGAUAAGCAUUUGAUGAAUGUGUGGGGCCAGUUUUAGACAUAGUGUAGAUUUGGGAAAACCAAUAAUGGAGCUACAAAUACAAAACAUUUUUAAAAGGCAGUGUGCAGAGUACUGUAGCCUUUCCAGGGUUACUGCUAGGGUAUUACAAUGUGUGAGUACAAGCCUCAAGGCAAAAACUACUUGUGCCCCUCUGACACAGACUGCUCCCAAUAUUCUCCUUUACGAGGAAAGUGUCUUGGCUUAAUUUCAAUUUACUCACCACAAUUAUUCCCCUUUUGGUGUUCAGUGACAGCUAUAGUGCCCCCUCUUUACAAGAUAGUAGAUAUAGUAAAUGCCCACGCAAAAAAAAAAAAAAAAUGUGCACUUUU